CCUACGGGAGGCAGCAGUGGGGAAUAUUGCACAAUGGGGGCAACCCUGAUGCAGCGACGCCGCGUGAGUGAUGAAGUCAUUCCUUAUGUAAAGCUCUAUUUGUAGGGAAGAAAAUUACGGUACCUGAGCAAUUAUCCCCGGCUAACUACGUUCCAGCAGCCGCGGUACUACGGAGGGGGCAAGCGUUAUCCGGAUUUACUGGGUGUAAAGGGAGCGUAGACGGGUGUGCAAGUCUGGUGUGAAAGGCGGGGGCUCAACCGCAAGAUUGGUAUGGAAACUGUAAGGCUGGAGUUCAGGCGAGGUAAGUGGAAUUCGUGGUGUAGCGGUGAAAUGCGUAGAUAUCACGAGGAACACCAGUGGCGAAGGCGGCUUACUAAACUGUAACUGACAUUGAGGCUCGAAAGCGUGGGGAGCAAACAGGAUUAGAUACCCCUGUAGUC
rnacentral:rRNA from 1 species